GGGCCGCCACAGGCGACGACGGGUAGCCGGCCUGAGAGGGCGACCGGCCACACUGGGACUGAGACACGGCCCAGACUCCUACGGGAGGCAGCAGUGGGGAAUAUUGCACAAUGGGCGAAAGCCUGAUGCAGCGACGCCGCGUGAGGGAUGACGGCCUUCGGGUUGUAAACCUCUUUCAGCAGGGAAGAAGCGAAAGUGACGGUACCUGCAGAAGAAGCGCCGGCUAACUACGUGCCAGCAGCCGCGGUAAUACGUAGGGCGCAAGCGUUGUCCGGAAUUAUUGGGCGUAAAGAGCUCGUAGGCGGCUUGUCGCGUCGGAUGUGAAAGCCCGGGGCUUAACCCCGGGUCUGCAUUCGAUACGGGCAGGCUAGAGUUCGGUAGGGGAGAUCGGAAUUCCUGGUGUAGCGGUGAAAUGCGCAGAUAUCAGGAGGAACACCGGUGGCGAAGGCGGAUCUCUGGGCCGAUACUGACGCUGAGGAGCGAAAGCGUGGGGAGCGAACAGGAUUAGAUACCCUGGUAGUCCACGCCGUAAACGGUGGGCACUAGGUGUGGGCAACAUUCCACGUUGUCCGUGCCGCAGCUAACGCAUUAAGUGCCCCGCCUGGGGAGUACGGA
rnacentral:rRNA from 1 species